UGAAUACGAGAUGCUACGGCGUCGAAGCAGUCUAUGUCAUACUUCCAAGAAAAGCUUGCACUGUCAUAAACAAAUAAUGCCUGUACCAUAACCGACACAGGUGGGUAGGUAGAGUAUACUAAGGGGCGCGAGAUAACUCUCUCUAAGGAACUCGGCAAAAUGACUCCGUAACUUCGGGAGAAGGAGUGCCUUAUUUAUAAGGUUGCAAUAACAAGAUCCAAGCAACUGUUUACCAAAAACACAGGUCUCCGCUAAGUCGUAAGACGAUGUAUGGGGGCUGACGCCUGCCCAGUGCCAGAAGGUUAAAGAAGUUGGUUAGCAUCCGCGAAGCUAUAACUGAAGCCCUGGUGAACGGCGGCCGUAACUAUAACGGUCCUAAGGUAGCGAAAUUCCUUGUCGGGUAAGUUCCGACCCGCACGAAAGGCGUAAUGAUUUGGAUACUGUCUCGGAGAGGGGCUCGGUGAAAUAGACUUGUCUGUGAAGAUGCGGACUACCUGCACCAGGACAGAAAGACCCUAUGAAGCUUUACUGUAACCUGAAAUUGAAAUUGGACUUUACUUGCGCAGUAUAGGUGGGAGGCGUUGAGAAUAUUCUUGCGGGAUUAUUGGAGCCAUCAGUGAGAUACCACUCUUGUAAUGUUAGAUUUCUAACUUUGUAUCAUUAUCUGGUCAAAGAACAGUUUCAGGCGGGCAGUUUGACUGGGGCGGUCGCCUCCUAAACGGUAACGGAGGCGCACAAAGGUUUCCUCUGAACGGGUAGAAAUCGUAUCUAGAGUGUAAAGGCAUAAGGAAGCUUGACUGUGAGACCUACAAGUCGAGCAGGGACGAAAGUCGGUCUUAGUGAUCUGACGGUGCUGAGUGGAAAGGCCGUCACUCAACGGAUAAAAGUUACUCUAGGAUAACAGGCUGAUCUCCCCCAAGAGUUCACAUCGACGGGGAGGUUUGGCACCUCGAUGUCGGCUCAUCGCAUCCUGGGGCGGUAGUACGUCCCAAGGGUUGGGCUGUUCGCCCAUGAAAGCGGUACGCGAGCUGGGUUCAGAACGUCGUGAGACAGUUCGGUCCAUAUCCGGUGUAGGCGUUAGAAUAUUGAGAGGAGCCUUCUUUAGUACGAGAGGACCGAGAAGGACAUACCUCUGGUGUACCAGUUAUCGUGCCAACGGUAAACGCUGGGUAGCUAUGUGUGGAGUGGAUAACCGCUGAAAGCAUCUAAGUGGGAAGCCCACCUCAAGAUAAG
rnacentral:rRNA from 1 species